rfam:Schistosoma rodhaini strain Burundi genome assembly, scaffold: SROB_scaffold0001784
GUUCAGCUGACGAGUCCCAAAUAGGACGAGAUGCUCAUCCUGGAU